ensembl:lncRNA
GUCACACGCUAAUGAACGUAAAACUGAACGAAUCAGUGAAGGAUUCAAAAGAUUCGACUCACUGAGUUCAAUUUAAAACUCCAACGCUGUCAGACUUUCACAGUUUCAUCCCAGCCUAUUAUUCUCCCGUCCCAAAAUAAUACCGAAUAAUGCCCAUAUACGUAUAAAUCCAAGGCCUUUCAGUAAAGAAACGUGAUAAUAAUAAUAAAACCGAGGAUGUUCUGAAUGUAAGAAUUUUAGAAAGCCUCAGGUAAGGCACUAGCGCCCUCGUGUGUUAAAAACUGUAAUGGGCCUCGUUGGCAGAAUGAGUGAUGUUAUGUAACGCCUGUCAACGCGCCCCUUCUCACAAGAACUCACUACUUCACUUCUGCUCUUGUGGCAAAUAUAGUAUCUAUACGAACCCACAGCCCUUCUUAUAGGCUCUCAGCGCACGUGAAGAACAGUGUGCUUAUUCAAAACAUAAACAAGAGGCGUGGCGCGAGGUGGAGUUAGCUGUCAUGAAGGCUACUACCAUGCAUAACUCUCGUUUUACUGUCCAGAGCAGCUACCUACGUGAUAUAAUAUCAGUCUAAGGGACUUUAUACACUGACUAAAUACUUUGUAGGUAUUUAUAUAAGUAGGUAUUUUGAUAUUAAAGAGAAGAGUGCAGACCCCAAAACGGAGGUACCGCGUGUUCUGUAAUGUGACACAAAGAGCUGUCAAGAAGGGGGAGGGCACCUUACAACAGAAAUAAAAAAGCUCAUGAGUUGUUCUCCAAUGACAGAACACCCGACACAACUUCAGGGGCUGGCGUUUAUUUGCCUUUUUACCAAAGUUGUACAAUCGGAGCCGAGCAGUCCAACGUGGCGAUCUCUCAAGCACCAGAAGAGCGGGAUAAAAAUAUUGCACUGGGUCUGAACGACUGGAUUUUUAGCUGAAUCGAUAACACAGAGGCUGUCAGUCAGUCGAAGAAGAAAAGAAAAAAAAACACUCACACACAGGGCAACUCCCCCUGAUCCGGGCUGCAAGUGCAAAAAAACAACAACUACUUAGACAUGCAAGGACAUGAAGACAAAAGAGAGAUGAGAUGUUUAUUUUUCCCAUCACGAGAUCAUCAUAGAGGCAUCGGACUUUGAAAACUUUCCACCUCACAAAGUCCGCCUGUCAGUCAACUCAGAAUGACAAGCGGCUCCAGCUCUGACGCAGUAACACACCUCUUUCUCUCACAUGCUCUCUUUGCUAGAGAGGGUUCUGGACAUCUGUGUACUUUUCCAUUCUCACAGUGGAGAAAACACAGAUCCCAGAGGCAGACCCAACUCUGUGUAUGUUUUGCCAGUCCCCCUUUUCCAUUAAACCUAUUUUAUUGGACUGUCCCGC